rnacentral:ncRNA from 1 species
GAGUAAGGUAAAUCUUUUCCUGAUUCCAUUUUGUGUUUGCUUAGACAUUUGGUGUAUGUGCUUGGCUGAGGAGCCAAUGGGUCGAAGCUACCAUCUGUGGGAUUAUGACUGAACGCCUCUAAGUCAGAAUCCCGCCUCG